rnacentral:lncRNA from 1 species
GCCCCUUUUUAGCAACAGCCAAUGCGUGCAUCAAUUGUAGAACAGGGGUAAUGAACAUAUCAUUUGGGAACAUGAAGGUAAAAUUAAAUGUGUUCAAUGCGGCCGACCAACCCGCGAGGGAAGUUGAGUGUUUUAUGAUAGACAAAAUAGAUGACCUCAUAGAAGGAGAUGCAAAAACUACCUCACUAUGUCUGGCUGAAGACAAUAAACUUAGCGCUUGUUGGGAGGCAACCCAAUUCUCUUAGAUUUCUUUAACAUUGAGGACAAUGUUAGGUUUAGGUUUGGGGAUAUUUUUAAGUAUUUUUAAUCAUUUUUUGUUUUGUUUGCAUCUCUUGCAUCCGUUUUCACUUCAUAAUGUCAGGUUUAUCACUUCAUAAUGUCAGGUUUAUCAA